ensembl:lncRNA
AUGUAUUCACCAGGGGAGGGGCGGGAUGAAAGCGCUUUUAACCUCCCCGCCAUAAACUUUAAUCGGAUUCCGAGCUGUUGCACGGCAUGGACUCCUCGCCUCUUCUCUGCAUCUCCUUCCCCGUUGUCUCCCAUUUCUACUACAGUCUGCUUUACGAGAGCCUUUUCCAAGCGAAUGAGUGAUUCCUUUCUCUUGCCAUGUGCAAUCUUUCCCCCCUCCCCUUUCUACCCUCUCUGGCCUCUCUUACACACACUAUGUCUUUCACAUGCGGUCUGUGCCCCCCAGCCCCCUCCCUUUCUUUCUCUUUUGCAGUGUCUUCGCAUGCAAUCUCUCUCUGAAUGUGCAAUGUCUUUCCUGCUCGGGAGUGCUGCGUCCUUCACAGUGGAUUGGUUCCUCUUUCGGAGCAGAGAUCACGGGAAAAGAGAAAAGCAGUCGAAUAUUGUGAUAAUACUGGAAGCCUGCAGAAGCUGGUUGAUAGGAGACUCCAUGGCUCUUAUUGUGGAUGUACCUAAUUUACUACAGUUCCAAGAAGUUCAUAAAGACAAAACUUACAAGAGGAAAUUGUUACAGAUGUUGUGUUUUGAGGAUGGCUGA